UUAAGCGACUAAGCGUACACGGUGGAUGCCCUGGCAGUCAGAGGCGAUGAAGGACGUGCUAAUCUGCGAAAAGCGUCGGUAAGGUGAUAUGAACCGUUAUAACCGGCGAUGUCCGAAUGGGGAAACCCAGUGCAAUUCGUUGCACUAUCGUUAACUGAAUACAUAGGUUAACGAGGCGAACCGGGGGAACUGAAACAUCUAAGUACCCCGAGGAAAAGAAAUCAACCGAGAUUCCCCCAGUAGCGGCGAGCGAACGGGGAGCAGCCCAGAGUCUGAAUCAGCUUGUGUGUUAGUGGAACGGUCUGGAAAGUCCGACGGUACAGGGUGAUAGUCCCGUACACCAAAAUGCACAGGUUGUGAACUCGAAGAGUAGGGCGGGACACGUGGUAUCCUGUCUGAAUAUGGGGGGACCAUCCUCCAAGGCUAAAUACUCCUGACUGACCGAUAGUGAACCAGUACCGUGAGGGAAAGGCGAAAAGAACCCCGGCGAGGGGAGUGAAAAAGAACCUGAAACCGUGUACGUACAAGCAGUGGGAGCACCUUCGGGUGUGACUGCGUACCUUUUGUAUAAUGGGUCAGCGACUUAUAUUCUGUAGCAAGGUUAACCGUAUAGGGGAGCCGCAGGGAAACCGAGUCUUAACUGGGCGUUAAGUUGCAGGGUAUAGACCCGAAACCCGGUGAUCUAGCCAUGGGCAGGUUGAAGGUUGGGUAACACUAACUGGAGGACCGAACCGACUAAUGUUGAAAAAUUAGCGGAUGACUUGUGGCUGGGGGUGAAAGGCCAAUCAAACCGGGAGAUAGCUGGUUCUCCCCGAAAGCUAUUUAGGUAGCGCCUCGUGAACUCAUCUUCGGGGGUAGAGCACUGUUUCGGCUAGGGGGUCAUCCCGACUUACCAACCCGAUGCAAACUACGAAUACCGAAGAAUGUUAUCACGGGAGACACACGGCGGGUGCUAACGUCCGUCGUGAAGAGGGAAACAACCCAGACCGCCAGCUAAGGUCCCAAAGUCAUGGUUAAGUGGGAAACGAUGUGGGAAGGCACAGACAGCCAGGAUGUUGGCUUAGAAGCAGCCAUCAUUUAAAGAAAGCGUAAUAGCUCACUGGUCGAGUCGGCCUGCGCGGAAGAUGUAACGGGGCUAAACCAUGCACCGAAGCUGCGGCAGCGACGCUUAUGCGUUGUUGGGUAGGGGAGCGUUCUGUAAGCCUGCGAAGGUGGCCUGUGAGGGUUGCUGGAGGUAUCAGAAGUGCGAAUGCUGACAUAAGUAACGAUAAAGCGGGUGAAAAGCCCGCUCGCCGGAAGACCAAGGGUUCCUGUCCAACGUUAAUCGGGGCAGGGUGAGUCGACCCCUAAGGCGAGGCCGAAAGGCGUAGUCGAUGGGAAACAGGUUAAUAUUCCUGUACUUGGUGUUACUGCGAAGGGGGGACGGAGAAGGCUAUGUUAGCCGGGCGACGGUUGUCCCGGUUUAAGCAUGUAGGCUGGUUAUCCAGGCAAAUCCGGAUAAUCAAGGCUGAGGUGUGAUGACGAGGCACUACGGUGCUGAAGUAACAAAUGCCCUGCUUCCAGGAAAAGCCUCUAAGCAUCAGGUAACAUCAAAUCGUACCCCAAACCGACACAGGUGGUCAGGUAGAGAAUACCAAGGCGCUUGAGAGAACUCGGGUGAAGGAACUAGGCAAAAUGGUGCCGUAACUUCGGGAGAAGGCACGCUGGUGUGUAGGUGAAGCCCCUGCGGGUGGAGCUGAGACCAGUCGAAGAUACCAGCUGGCUGCAACUGUUUAUUAAAAACACAGCACUGUGCAAACACGAAAGUGGACGUAUACGGUGUGACGCCUGCCCGGUGCCGGAAGGUUAAUUGAUGGGGUUAUCCGUAAGGAGAAGCUCUUGAUCGAAGCCCCGGUAAACGGCGGCCGUAACUAUAACGGUCCUAAGGUAGCGAAAUUCCUUGUCGGGUAAGUUCCGACCUGCACGAAUGGCGUAAUGAUGGCCAGGCUGUCUCCACCCGAGACUCAGUGAAAUUGAACUCGCUGUGAAGAUGCAGUGUACCCGCGGCAAGACGGAAAGACCCCGUGAACCUUUACUAUAGCUUGACACUGAACAUUGAGCCUUGAUGUGUAGGAUAGGUGGGAGGCUUUGAAGCGUGGACGCCAGUCUGCGUGGAGCCAACCUUGAAAUACCACCCUUUAAUGUUUGAUGUUCUAACGUUGGCCCCUUACCGGGGUUGCGGACAGUGUCUGGUGGGUAGUUUGACUGGGGCGGUCUCCUCCCAAAGCGUAACGGAGGAGCACGAAGGUUAGCUAAUCCUGGUCGGACAUCAGGAGGUUAGUGCAAUGGCAUAAGCUAGCUUGACUGCGAGCGUGACGGCGCGAGCAGGUGCGAAAGCAGGUCAUAGUGAUCCGGUGGUUCUGAAUGGAAGGGCCAUCGCUCAACGGAUAAAAGGUACUCCGGGGAUAACAGGCUGAUACCGCCCAAGAGUUCAUAUCGACGGCGGUGUUUGGCACCUCGAUGUCGGCUCAUCACAUCCUGGGGCUGAAGUAGGUCCCAAGGGUAUGGCUGUUCGCCAUUUAAAGUGGUACGCGAGCUGGGUUUAGAACGUCGUGAGACAGUUCGGUCCCUAUCUGCCGUGGGCGCUGGAGAAUUGAGGGGGGCUGCUCCUAGUACGAGAGGACCGGAGUGGACGCAUCACUGGUGUUCGGGUUGUCAUGCCAAUGGCACUGCCCGGUAGCUAAAUGCGGAAGAGAUAAGUGCUGAAAGCAUCUAAGCACGAAACUUGCCCCGAGAUGAGUUCUCCCUGAGACUUUAAGUCUCCUGAAGGAACGUUGAAGACGACGACGUUGAUAGGCCGGGUGUGUAAGCGCAGCGAUGCGUUGAGCUAACCGGUACUAAUGAACCGUGAGGCUUAACCU
rnacentral:rRNA from 1 species